GAUGAACGCUAGCGGCAGGCCUAAUACAUGCAAGUCGAACGGGAUUGAGGAGCUUGCUCCUCAUGAGAGUGGCGCACGGGUGCGUAACACGUAUGUAACCUACCUUAAUCAGGGGAAUAGCCUCUCGAAAGAGAGAUUAACACCGCAUAAAAUCACACUAUGGCAUCAUAGAAUGAUCAAAUAUUUAUAGGAUUAAGAUGGGCAUGCGGAACAUUAGCUAGUUGGUAAGGUAACGGCUUACCAAGGCUACGAUGUUUAGGGGAUCUGAGAGGAUGGCCCCCCACACGGGUACUGAGACACGGACCAGACUCCUACGGGAGGCAGCAGUAAGGAAUAUUGGUCAAUGGGCGGAAGUCUGAACCAGCCAUGCCGCGUGCAGGAAGACGGCCCUACGGGUUGUAAACUGCUUUUGUACCGGAAUAAACCUUUCUACGUGUAGGAAGCUGAAUGUACGGUAAGAAUAAGGAUCGGCUAACUCCGUGCCAGCCGCCGCCGUAA
rnacentral:rRNA from 1 species